rnacentral:misc_RNA from 1 species
UUUCCGUAGGUGAACCUGCGGAAGGAUCAUUCAUAAUAAAGUGUUUUAUGGCACUUUUUAAAAAUCCAUAUCCACCUUGUGUGCAAUGUUAGAUCUCGUCAAUCUUGGCGAGAUUUUUAUACAUCAACUCAUUCUUCAACUAAUUUGUCUGAAAAAUAUUAUGAAUACUUAAUUCAAAACACAACUUUCAACAACGGAUCUCUUGGCUCUC